GACGAACGCUGGCGGCGUGCCUAAUACAUGCAAGUCGAACGCAGUGGGGACGGGUGAGUAAAACGUGGGUAACCUCCCAUCAGAGGGGAUACCACUUGGCAACAGGUGCUAAACCGAUACUGAUGGAUGGACGCGCGGUGCAUUAGCUAGUUGGUGGGGUAACGGCUCACCAAGGCCACGAUGCAUAGCCGACCUGCGAGGGUGAUCGGCCACACUGGAACUGAGACACGGCCCAGACUCCUACGGGAGGCAGCAGUAGGGAAUCUUCGGCAAUGGGCGAAAGUCUUACCGAGCAACGCCGCGUGUGUGAAGAAGGUUUUCGGAUCGUAAAGCUCUGUUGGUAGAGAAGCGGUAUCUAACCAAGAAGCAACGGCUAACUACGUGCCAGCAGCCGCGGUAAUUC
rnacentral:rRNA from 1 species